rnacentral:rRNA from 1 species
UACGAAGGGGGCUAGCGUUGUUCGGAAUCACUGGGCGUAAAGCGCACGUAGGCGGAUCUUUAAGUCAGGGGUGAAAUCCCGAGGCUCAACCUCGGGAACUGCCUUUGAUACUGGGGAUCUCGAGUCCGGGAGAGGUGAGUGGAACUGCGAGUGUAGAGGUGAAAUUCGUAGAUAUUCGCAAGAACACCAGUGGCGAAGGCGGCUCACUGGCCCGGAACUGACGCUGAGGUGCGAAAGCGUGGGGAGCAAACAGG